rnacentral:rRNA from 1 species
UACAGAGGUGGCGAGCGUUAUUCGGAAUUAUUGGGCGUAAAGGGCGCGUAGGCGGCUUGACAAGUCCCGGGUGAAAUCCCUCGGCUCAACCGAGGAACUGCCUUGGAAACUGUCUGGCUUGAGGCCGGGAGAGGGUAGUGGAAUUCCCAGUGUAGCGGUGAAAUGCGUAGAUACUGGGAGGAACACCGGUGGCGAAGGCGGCUACCUGGACCGGUUCUGACGCU